rnacentral:rRNA from 1 species
GGCCAAGUUUUUAAGGGCGCACGGUGGAUGCCUUGGCACCAGGAACCGAUGAAGGACGUGGGAGGCCACGAUAGUCCCCGGGGAGCUGUCAACCAAGCUUUGAUCCGGGGGUUUCCGAAUGGGGAAACCCGGCAGUCGUCAUGGGCUGUCACCCGCUGCUGAACACAUAGGCAGUGUGGAGGGAACGAGGGGAAGUGAAACAUCUCAGUACCCUCAGGAAGAGAAAACAACCGUGAUUCCGGGAGUAGUGGCGAGCGAAACUGGAUGAGGCCAAACCGUAUGCGUGUGAUACCCGGCAGGGGUUGCGUAUGCGGGGUUGUGGGAG